ACACAGACACACACACAGCCAGGUCACCCAUGAUACAAGUCAGUAUUCGACAUCUAUCCAUGUCUGAGAUGACGUGGUAACCAGACACUAGGGGAACACUGAGCCCUGUUACCUUUAAACAGGUUUCCACUAGGGGAACACUGAGAUCUGUUGUUAAACAGGUUUCCACUGGGGAACACUGAGAUCUGUUACCUUUAAACAGGUUUCUACUGGGGAACACUGAGAUCUGUUAUUAAACAGGUUUCCACUGGGGAACACUGAGAUCUGUUACCUUUAAACAGGUUUCUACUGGGGAACACUGAGAUCUGUUAUUAAACAGGUUUCCACUAGGGGGAACACUGAGAUCUGUUAUUAAACAGGUUUCCACUGGGGAACACUGAGAUCUGUUAUUAAACAGGUUUCCACUAGGGAACACUGAGAUCUGUUACCUUUAAACAGGUUUCCACUAGGGGAACACUGAGAUCUGUUAGUAAACAGGUUUCCACUAGGGGGAACACUGAGAUCUGUUAUUAAACAGGUUUCCACUGGGGAACACUGAGAUCUGUUAUUAAACAGGUUUCCACUGGGGAACACUGAGAUCUGUUAUUAAACAGGUUUCCACUGGGGAACACUGAGAUCUGUUACCUUUAAACAGGUUUCCACUGGGGAACACUGAGAUCUGUUAUUAAACAGGUUUCCACUGGGGAACACUGAGAUCUGUUACCUUUAAACAGGUUUCCACAGGGGAACACUGAGAUCUGUUAGUAAACAGGUUUCCACUAGGGGGAACACGGAGAUCUGUUAUUAAACAGGUUUCCACUGGGGAACACUGAGAUCUGUUAUUAAACAGGUUUCCACUGGGGAACACUGAGAUCUGUUAUUAAACAGGUUUCCACUGGGGAACACUGAGAUCUGUUACCUUUAAACAGGUUUCCACUGGGGAACACUGAGAUCUGUUAUUAAACAGGUUUCCACUAGGGGAACACUGAGAUCUGUUACCUUUAAACAGGGGAACACAGAUCUGUUAUUAAACAGGUUUCCACUGGGGAACACUGAGAUCUGUUAUUAAACAGGUUUCCACUGGGGAACACUGAGAUCUGUUACCUUUAAACAGGGGAACACAGAUCUGUUAUUAAACAGGUUUCCACUGGGGAACACUGAGAUCUGUUAUUAAACAGGUUUCCACUGGGGAACACUGAGAUCUGUUACCUUUAAAUAGGGGAACACUGAGAUCUGUUACCUUUAAACAGGUUUCUACUGGGGAACACUGAGAUCUGUUACCUUUAAACAGGGGAACACAGAUCUGUUAUUAAACAGGUUUCCACUGGGGAACACUGAGAUCUGUUACCUUUAAACAGGUUUCCACUGGGGAACACUGAGAUCUGUUACCUUUAAACAGGUUUCCACUGGGGAACACUGAGAUCUGUUAUUAAACAGGUUUCUACUAGGGAACACUGAGAUCUGUUAUUAAACAGGUUUCCACUAGGGAACACUGAGAUCUGUUAUUAAACAGGUUUCCACUAGGGGAACACUGAGAUCUGUUGUUAAGCAGGUUUCCACUGGGGAACACUGAGAUCUGUUACCUUUAAACAGGUUUCCACUGGGGAACACUGAGAUCUGUUACCUUUAAACAGGGGAACACUGAGAUCUGUUAUUAAACAGUUUUCUACUGGGGAACACUGAGAUCUGUUAUUAAACAGGUUUCCACUGGGGGAACACUGAGAUCUGUUAUUAAACAGGUUUCCACUGG